UGGGGAAUAUUGGGCAAUGGGGGAAACCCUGACCCAGCGACGCCGCGUGAGGGAAGAAGGUUUUCGGAUUGUAAACCUCUGUCUUCAGGGACGAUAAUGACGGUACCUGAGGAGGAAGCCACGGCUAACUACGUGCCAGCAGCCGCGGUAAUACGUAGGUGGCAAGCGUUGUCCGAAAUUACUGGGUGUAAAGGGAGCGUAGGCGGUAAGACAAGUUGCGUGUGAAAGGCAUAGGCUUAACCUAUGGAUUGCGCGCAAAACUGUAAUACUUGAGUGAAGUAGAGGCAAGCGGAAUUCCAAGUGUAGAGGUAAAAUUCGUAGAUAUUUGGAGGAACACCAGUGGCGAAGGCGGCUUGCUGGGCUUUUACUGACGCUGAGGCUCGAAAGUGUGGGGAGCAAACA
rnacentral:rRNA from 1 species